GGAGGAGAGCGAGCGAGCAACGAGGAGCAGGAGGAGAGAAAGGCUUCUCUGUCUUGCUCGCCCAGCCCUUGCCCUCUCUCUCCACAGCACACACAACCAGCCCGUCCCCUCCCUCCUGGAGCUCGUCGAUUGAUUGUGAACAAAAACGCCGGAGAGACGCUUCUGCAGCGUGCGCCCGCCUGGGAUACGAGGAGGUGGUGCUGUACUGUUUGGAGCAACAGGUGUGUGACGUUAACCACAGAGAUAACGCCGGGUACUGUGCUCUGCAUGAGGCCUGCGCCCGCGGCUGUCUGGGGAUUGUA